UACGUAGGGUCCGAGCGUUGUCCGGAUUUAUUGGGCGUAAAGAGCUCGUAGGCGGCUCAGUAAGUCAGAUGUGAAAACUCAGGGCUCAACCCGGAGACGCCAUCUGAUACUGCUGUGGCUUGAGUCUGGUAGGGGAUCACGGAAUUCCUGGUGUAGCGGUGAAAUGCGUAGAGAUUGGAAAGAACACCAAUGGCGAAAGCACUUUACUGGGCUAUGACUGACACUGAGAGACGAAAGCUAGGGUAGCAAAUGGG
rnacentral:rRNA from 1 species